CGCAAGUGGACUGACUCAGUCCCAGUCUGUUUCUACUUAAGUAGUCUCUGGGUUUUUCGUUUGCUUGUUUGUUUGUUUUUGUGAAGCACAGGUGAAACUGAGAAGUGGACAGAGGAGGCCAGAGACCGCAUGGAGCUUCCUGAGUCUUGACAUUCCAAGAAUACCCUCAACUGGUCCUCUCCUUUUUUCGAAAAACGUGACAAGCCUGUAAGACUAAGGGAAAGAGUAAAGCAGUUUCUGUUCAUUGUACGCUGGACAAAUUCCGAGUGGAUUCUGCAAUACUGAAUUAGCAUAGAGGACUUUCUGGAGGGAGAGAAGUGGACACUGUUCUUGACAGCUAUACUCAAUAUAUACUCACUACUUGGAAAGUAUGCUAUUGCAACGUUCUCCUUCUGGAUUCCCAGGCUGUGCAAAGUUCCCUUGGCUUAAAGUCUAUUUUUCUCUUCCAUUAGAAACCAGGAAAGCAAAUGCACACUGGCAGCUUCUCACUAUGGACCAAUCAAAUGUUUCCCAUUUGAGUCUCGCAGUACUGUAAGAAGACUUAAGUCCCACGGUGAGCCAGUGACUUAUCAGUUCAUACUCGCUGGAGUCAGAGGUCAGAAGAACAUAAGCCAACAACCCCUGGUUAUUCUCUGAAAUCUCCAUGAUGGCACUGGCUCUGCACAGGGCAGAGUUAGGAUACAAACCAGUGUGGUGUAGAUGUAUGGGUAGUGACUCUGGUUUACCUCCAGAUACAUUCUUGGGCACCCUAGUUGUCUUUUAUCAGAAAAGCCACAACUGACUCUAAGGCCAGCAUAAGAACAAAAGACAGAAGAAAACAUGGAGUCAGAAACUUGAAGUUACUGCGGGGAGGAAUAUCAGACAUUGAGGUUUCACUAACUGCCAAGCCAUGGGAUGUAACAUCGAAGAAAAUCUAAAAGUGUGUCAUGCCAGCUUGCCCUUCAACUGGAGCUCUGUGAGGCUGGAGCCACAACUGUAUUUCCGGGUAUAUCCCCACUCCUUGUGCUGGUGUGUGGGCACCUUCCCACCCAUCCCAGAAAGGAAGGCGAGGGGACUGAUGCAAUUCGUGGACUGAUCUUCCUAACAACACAAGUCAGCUUCAUGUUGAGCAUUCCUGGAGAACAAAAGUGUUUUUGCUGCCAAGAUGUCAGGUUCUUUUUAGAGAGCUAAAAAUUAUACACAUCAGAAUUUCUAAAAUAAACGCUGAAUCUGAACCUUCCAGGCAGUGUUCUUGUUUUUCUCCCUGAGCUAUCAAAGAACAAAUUUGUUCCUUCCUUUAUUAAUAAGUUUGUUGGAAAUCUGUUGUGCCAGCCCAUGACUAUUUUCCAGGAAAGCAGAUUAAUGCUAGAUUAUGAAAAUAAAUGAUAACAUAUUUACUGUGAGAACUAAUGAUAUCCUGAGUGCUAAGACAGUACACACUGCUUCUUCCAAGACUGGCAGGUAUGUUUCUGAAGUUGACUUCACUUCAGCGGAAGACACUCUGAGCUUACGUGACUGUGGGCUGCCCAACAUUGCAAAGAUACCAGCCUUGGCAGCAGCGUAUUUAGUACAACUCCAGUUGUGGAAACACUACUGUCACAUUAAAGAAAGGAUUCUUCCUGCCGUGUUGACAAGGAGUAGUGGAAUGGCAAGGCACCAGAAACUGUGGAGACCCAUACUCUUGUCUCAUUUCUGUCUUGCCUGCCUGUAGCCAGGUGGUGCUUUGAAGCCAUCCCAGCUUGUUUAUGAAUAACUCUAUGCUACUGGCCUUUGCUUAAAGUCUGCCUUAAGGACUUUUUCU
ensembl:lncRNA